GACAGAGGGUGCGAACGUUGCUCGGAAUUAUUGGGCGUAAAGCGCGCGUAGGCGGUUCUGUCCGUCAGGUGUGAAAACCCGAGGCCCAACCUCGGAAGUGCACUUGAUACUGCAGAGCUAGAGUACUGAAGAGGAGAGCGGAAUUCCCGGUGUAGAGGUGAAAUUCGUAGAUAUCGGGAGGAACACCAGUGGCGAAGGCGGCUCUCUGGGCAGAUACUGACGCUGAGACGCGAAAGCGUGGGGAGCAAACAGG
rnacentral:rRNA from 1 species